CUUCGUCCAUGCGGAUGCUUCUGAUUGAUUCGGCAAUGCUUGCGUUCGACGACAAUACAGAGUUCGAUAUGGGAAAUUGCUUCGCGAAUAAAAUGUCGGCCGGCCGCCUCCAAGUGCAGGCGAUUCAAGUAUGCACAUCAAAUGUUUGAUAAGAUAACCAAUAGUAUGUAAGUCCCCGGAGCGUAGGGCUAGAGUUGUGUCAGGAUACGUUGAAGGAGAAAGGAGAGCCUAGCGUGAGCGUGAUGGUGGAUAUCCUCUCUGCACGCACGCAUAUAGGCGUUAUCAAACAGGUCGAGCGGACGGAGGUAUAUAUGAGAAGGAAGAACAUAUACCUUACUGUUACGAUUGGCAUUGCACAGAUUCUAAGAGUAGCUAAAAUGCGGUAUGCGUGUGGAGAAGGCCUUUGAAACAUCGGGUACGUUGGCUUCCCAUGUGAUGGUAAGAGAGCCGUGACAGCUUCCAACACGAUGGCAAUUAGGUAUUCGCAUGUAGUGGAGAGACGUAACAGACUUCUUUCAUAAUGAAAAUGAACCGGUCAUUCUAUCAAUUUCUGAAGCUGGUAGAAUUCAUGAGAAGAAUUAUAAAACCCUUAUCAAGGUUUUACUCCAUUUUGAGUAUUAGAAUAAAAGAACCCAGCCAAAGAGACACUAGUAAGUUCACCACAUGAAGAACUUCUAUCAUUUGAAGAUACCAACCACUAGAACGUUAUGUGAAGAUCAAACAGUUUUGAUAACUGUAACCAAUUACAUAGCCAUCAAUAAGGACCUUCAUUACCUCACAGGGUAGCAUCUCCUCCAGCAUGCACAUACCACCAAAUGCAAUUGCAAUUUAUUAGACCACAGAUCAAUUCCCACGUAGAACCUUGAUCUCAGAGCUACAAAAAUUCUUUCCAGAUGCUUGAGGAACAUAAAAAGUAACCAUCUGACGAGGAAAAAACAAAAAGGAGUGGCAACGGAAUACUCCUCCUCCCAUCCUACGACGGACCUAACGAAAAAUACAUCAAUUCAGUUCCUCUAAUCGCCUCCACAAAAGAAGAAUUAUAAAACCCUUAUCAAGGUUUUACUCCAUUUUGAGUAUUAGAAUAAAAGAACCCAGCCAAAGAGACACUAGUAAGUUCACCACAUGAAGAACUUCUAUCA
rnacentral:lncRNA from 1 species